rnacentral:lncRNA from 1 species
AUGGCGAAGAUGAGCCGAGUUGUGACCUUCUUUGUCCUCUUCCUGGACUCUUGGCCCAGUGCGGAGCGCUACCCUUACCCCCAGGUCAAAGGUUCAGAUAGUACAUUUUCCUCAAGUUCAACGAGUAUGGAAAAAGAUAUGGCUAAAAUAUUUGAUGACAUUCUGCAGCAGGUGUCUCCUAAGGAGCUGGAUGUCGAAGUUUUUGGGAAAACAAGUACGACAGUGGGGCCAGUUACAAGGGAAGACCUGGAUGAAAAAGCCAGUGUGUCUCGGAAUUCUGAGGAAGAAGAUGACAUUCUUGAAAGAAUGGACAAACUUCCAGAUGAUGACCGCAUUUCAAAGAAGAGAGACAGAGUAUCUUCCCUAGUCAACAACGAUGUGACUGCAGGAGUACUUCGGCAAGGUACCAGUCCAGAUCUGCCUUGCGGGGAGCUUCUGCACUUCCUGCAGAAGAACAUCAUCACUGUCGCAGGCGCCGUGGCGAUGAUGUUUGGGGUCAUGGUGCUGUUGGUGUUCGCGCUGACUUCUUACAUGAAGAGGAGGCAGUCACUGACUCCUCCAGCGAACAUGACUUACAAUAUUUUUAUAUUGGAUGAGAAGAGUUGGUGGCAAAAACCUCAGGAAAGUCCCAGACAAUUUGCAGAAAAACAAAAACAGUUGAAGUGAAAUUCCUGUGUGUGAGCUGGUGCAAGGGGCCACCCCAACCGGGCUCUGAGGCGGCGAUGCUAGGACGUUUUCCACCCAGACACCACGGAGAGGCUACUGGGUCUCUGGCUGUGAGGUGUGUUCCUCUUCUCUUUCCAAUCUUGAACGGACCAAGAAAGAGUGCCUUACCAUUGAUAUCUAUGGUGACACAGCACCAAUGACCAGUGCAAGAGACUUAGGCAAUUAUCUAAAGACAAACCUGACCAAUGAUGAUGGAUUUAUUCAUUUAAUAAAGCACUGAUUUAUUUAGUCAUGGACGGCAGAUGCUAACUGGACACCUGCUGUGUGUCAUACACCAAUCAAAAUGCAAGAAAGGAGCCGCGAGUGAGCCCGGCAUGGAUUUUUUUGUUUUGUUUUGUUUUUCUCCGGUACCGGGAAUCGAACUCACAACCUUGCGCUUGCCAGGCAGGCGCUUUGCCGCUGAGCUAAAUCCCCAGCCCCCCGGCAUGGAUUUUGCCCCAACAAUUUUGUGGUCUGGUGGUGGGCGGAGAGCACAACAGUACCAAUAUCUGUGAUCAUUUUCAAACAGGGCCACGGGCAGCAUUGCAUGAAGAAAGUGAUACAAAUUGUGGGAGCUCACCAGGGGAGCGUAUUUCCUGCUUGAGUCACCAGGCCUGUUGUAACAGAGAGAGGAAGCGGGGUGGUUGAGAGUGUAAGGAGGGGGUUUAUGUCUAAGGGUUUGAAGAAAGUUUGAAGCACCCUGGGGCAGGCAAGAGUGGGAAGCGAUUACCAUCAACAGCUGAAGCAGUAAGGAAAAUCCAGGGUUGGCUGGAAGUGCAGCUCGGAGGUAGGGUGCUUGCCUAGCAUGCACGAGGUCCUGGGUUCCAGCCCCAGAACAGGGGAGGGGACACAAGGAGAGUAAAGAGAACCUCAGUCAGGCUGGACUCUUCCAAGGGACCGUGGGUAAAUUGCAAAACCGAACAGGAAGGAAUCGGGAGCACAGGCCUCAAACUCACGCUCCUCCCGCCCUUCAUUCCCCUACACGCGGCUUCCAUUGGCCAAGCUCAACAGGAAGCUGGAAGGUAAGUGUCGUGUGAAUUUCCCAGAAAGAUAUAAAAGAGACGUCUGCUUCUGCCCUGAGAGGGAGCCAACAGUUCAAGGAAUGACUCGCACCCAUCCAGCUUGGCAGGGAGUUGAGAUGAUUGCUCACAGAGCAGUGGGUGACUCGUGGGCAGCAGCACUGCAGAAGUCGCCAGCUCCCAUUUGCUGAGCUGCUGGUUUUCUAGGGCUGGGGGGUGAACAGCAAACAGCAGAAGCAAAGAUGAGAGAACCUGGGGAGAGCCGUGUACUCUGCGCCCAUCCAUCCUUCUGCAGAAACUCCGCUGGCCUCCAGCUAUGGUGAUGGGGACCUUGGAUGGCUGAACAGCGCCCUUUCCAAGGUGGAGGGACUGGCUAGGGUUCGCAGACAAUUCUCAUUACAGUGAGGGAGUCACUGGGACAGCUCACCAGGCUCUUGGCGUGCAAAGCAGGCAGAGCACAGAGUGGGUCUGCAAGGAGGGGGAACCAAAAAUAUCCAGCACAGCUCAUCACUCUGGCCAUCGACCUCCACCUUUGUCCUGUUUAUGAAUGCAAACUCCAAAUCCACGUCCCCCACAUAAGGGACACAAAGUCCCCAGAGCUACGUACCCUGGAGGAGCGGCCUCAGUUCAGUCCCCCUCCCACCUGGAACUCGAAGCUGUGGCCGUUACAUUGCUGUUUAUCUAAGGAACUGGGCGAGAAAAGGAAGGGACAGGGUAAUAAAGAG